GUGCAGUAGGGGGUCUAUAAUGCAGUCGUACGCUUCUUUUUCCACCGGAGCUUGCUCCACCGGAAAAAGAAGAGUGGCGAACGGGUGAGUAACACGUGGGUAACCUGCCCAUCAGAAGGGGAUAACACUUGGAAACAGGUGCUAAUACCGUAUAACAAUCGAAACCGCAUGGUUUUGAUUUGAAAGGCGCUUUCGGGUGUCGCUGAUGGAUGGACCCGCGGUGCAUUAGCUAGUUGGUGAGGUAACGGCUCACCAAGGCCACGAUGCAUAGCCGACCUGAGAGGGUGAUCGGCCACAUUGGGACUGAGACACGGCCCAAACUCCUACGGGAGGCAGCAGUAGGGAAUCUUCGGCAAUGGACGAAAGUCUGACCGAGCAACGCCGCGUGAGUGAAGAAGGUUUUCGGAUCGUAAAACUCUGUUGUUAGAGAAGAACAAGGAUGAGAGUAACUGUUCAUCCCUUGACGGUAUCUAACCAGAAAGCCACGGCUAACUACGUGCCAGCAGCCGCGGUAAUACGUAGGUGGCAAGCGUUGUCCGGAUUUAUUGGGCGUAAAGCGAGCGCAGGCGGUUUCUUAAGUCUGAUGUGAAAGCCCCCGGCUCAACCGGGGAGGGUCAUUGGAAACUGGGAGACUUGAGUGCAGAAGAGGAGAGUGGAAUUCCAUGUGUAGCGGUGAAAUGCGUAGAUAUAUGGAGGAACACCAGUGGCGAAGGCGGCUCUCUGGUCUGUAACUGACGCUGAGGCUCGAAAGCGUGGGGAGCAAACAGGAUUAAUACCCGGGGGGGCACACAAAAUAAAAUGGGCAGGGUUGGGGUUUAUACCG
rnacentral:rRNA from 1 species